rnacentral:rRNA from 1 species
UACGAAGGGUCCAAGCGUUGUUCGGAAUCAUUGGGCGUAAAGCGCGCGCAGGCGGAUCAGCAAGUCAGGUGUGAAAUCUCGGGGCUCAACCUCGAAACUGCGCCUGAAACUGCUAGUCUAGAAUGUCGGAGGGGGCAGGGGAAUUUCACGUGUAGGGGUAAAAUCCGUAGAGAUGUGAAGGAACACCGGGGGCGAAGGCGCCUGCCUGGACGACUAUUGACGCUGAGGCGCGAAAGCGUGGGGAGCAAACAGG